CAAUAGCGUAUAUUAAAGUUGUUGCAGUUAGAACGCUCGUAGUCGGAUUCCGGGGCGGGCCGACCGGUCUGCCGAUGGGUAUGCACUGGUCGGCGCGUCCUUCCUUCCGGAGACCGUCCCUACUCUUAACUGAGCGGGGGCGGGAGACGGGACUUUUACUUUGAAAAAAUCAGAGUGUUUCAAGCAGGCAGCUCGCUCUUGCAUGGAUUAGCAUGGGAUAAUGAAAUAGGACUUUGGUGCUAUUUUGUUGGUUUCGAACACCGAAGUAAUGAUGAGAAGGGACAGUCAGGGGCACUCGUAUUCCGCCGAGAGAGGUGAAAUUCUCAGACCAGCGGAAGACGAACCACUGCGAAAGCAUUUGCCAGGGAUGUUUUCACUG
rnacentral:rRNA from 1 species